GGGGACUUAGUUUAGUGGUAAAAUGACUGUCUCCAAAACAGUAGAUAGGGGUUCGAUUCCCUUAGUCCCCG
rnacentral:tRNA from 1 species